GCCUCGGGCAGUCUCCUGUGCCGUGUGUCACCAGUGACUCUUUUUCAGGGCGUGACGGACAGCUUGAGGACGGCUGCCAGCAAUGUCCUGGUGGCUCUGGCCCGGACACACUUCAGCUUGGUGAUGGCCGAGCUCCAGGGCCACCUGAAGGCCACACGGGAGAUGUCUAAGGACUUUGUGCUCGUGACCCUGGGCAAACUCUUCAGCACCUAUGCUCCACAGUGCAUCUCCUUUGUGUGGCUGACGCUGGCUGGCCUGUGCAGUGUGGUGGGCCAGGUGAGGAGUGGUCGGACCCUUCGCAUUGCUUGUGCUGUUGUGAAACAAUGGUUAGAAGGAGUCAAGGUUCACUUGUACUCUGCAAAGCAAUGCUCCUGGCCUGCCACGGAAAAAGAGCAGAUCCAUGAGAAUCUUUACCGGCUCUUCUGCUCUGUUCUGAACAACUGGCAGGACUGCAAGGAGGAAAAGGACAAACAGGCUGUCCUUGGGGCUGUGGCUGACAUGAUGACUGUCCUCCUGCAAGAGGAGCUGCCCCGAGAGCACGNNNNNNNNNNNNNNAAGGGAAAGAGAAAGCCCUCUCCGUAGGAAGGGCAGACCUUCAGUCUUUGAUACCUGGCCUCUGUCAUCCCUCUCCAGGACAAACAGGCUGUCCUUGGGGCUAUGGCUGACAUGAUGACUGUCCUCCUGCAAGAGGAGCUGCCCCGAGAGCACGUCUGGGAGCACCUCCUCUGGCUCGUGCACCAGUAUCAGGAGGUCCAAGACCCCUGCAGAGUGACCAAGGUGAGAUGUUGUGCAGGACUCAGUGUGGACGUGGGGCCCAUGCAAGUGCCACAAGGGGUCAGUGGGAUGCAGGGAGGAGGCUGGGAGCCCUUGGGGAAAAAAGGAAUAGGUGUUCAAGGGAAGUCUGAGGCUUCCUGAGUUCUUCAGUCAAGGAAGGAACAACCCAGACAGGAGCCAGAACGGAGCCAGGAGUCACUGGGGUGCAUCCUGGGAAUGGGAGGCUUCACCACCAUGGGGCUCUGAGUGCCUGAGGAGCUGUGUGCUAACAGCCAGGGGGACCAUGUCCAGUUUCAUCUGAUGGGGGUGAAGAGGGCUGCUGGGUGGGAAAUGCCUGCAAACGAUGCCCAAACAGGGCUUGGUGGAAAGCAGAGACUCUCAUGGUGCUGCUAGGAGGGGGGGACAAACAAGAACGCCUGUGCGCCUGUGUGGGAGCUUUUCCCAGCAGACAAACCACUGGGAAUCAGUUUCUCCACUCCCAAGUGGCUAGGUGUGUCUUCAGCCCUUUCUUCAUCUCCUGGUCUCUUGCAGAGCCUUCGUAUGUUCCUGGAGGCCUUAGAGGAAGUUCAAUCUGUCAUCCCCAAGGACAAGUUUCUGGCCAUCACCAGAGCCGUGUUCUACCAGGUAAGGGGAGCCUACCCUUGUGCAGUUUGCCUCUUGGCUAAGUCUCGGAAGGACUGCAAAGCUCUGAGCUUCUGACAGCUGCUCAGCCUUAGCUCCUGCAUGCCUGUGGCUGCUCCAGGGCUGUGCGUGUGCCCCAGGGAUACUGUGGGGCGGGCUGUGUUUUGUCUGCAUGUCCUCCUCCCAA
ensembl:lncRNA